GGCAUGGCAACAGCAACUUCAAGCUCUGUUUCACCAGGGCCAGGCCCAAAUAUACAUGGGGGAAAACAGAAUAACAAUGUGCCAGCAUCCCUUUACCCUGUGGUGGAAGUAUGGUCAAAACAUGAGACCCUUAGACCAGAGGGUAAACAAGCUCAAAAGAAAAAGGAAAGAGACAGCGGAAAAGGCAAAUUCAACAGCAUCAACGGCUGAUGGAUGGGU